rnacentral:lncRNA from 1 species
AACAAACUUAAAAUGGAAUAAAGGGAUAGAGGUAUAACUUAGUAAAGUGCCCUUAGUUCCAACUUCCUGGUCUGGAAGGCAAAACAAACAAAAAAGCGAGAGAAAAGAAUAGAUUAGGAAGAUAGGAAUUUAAUCCAAGAGAAUAACAGCAAAAUAUUUUAUGGUAAGGAACCUGAAAUAACUGCAUUAUUUCUACAUAGUAUUCAUUAUGUGGAUACAAAAUUUUUUAUAUAUAAUGAGACAAGUAGUAAAAUAUUUAGGGGCUGAGUUUAGAAGCACAUACCUGAUAAUCCCAGUAUUUUGAAGAUUGAGACAAUAGAAUUACAAGUUCAAGGCCAACCUGGGAUCAAUGGCAAAACCCUGUCUCAAAAAGAUUUAAAAAUAGGAGUUGGGAAUUUAGUUUAGAAGUAGCAUUUGGUUCCCAGUGCCAAAACAUAGAGUAAAAUAAAUAUAAUAAUAUGAUAGUCUUGAACUGGAAAGUGUUUCCAGAGAAGGUUGCUAUGUGGGACAGUGACUUAAGGAAAUCAGGUCCCAGAUGAAACAAAGCUGAAGCAGCCAGCAGACAUUAGAUUCCAGCAUCCUCCUGUCAACAUGAACCUGAUGGUAGCACCUCUCCAGGGAACAUCUAGAUCUUCAGCACCUGAUGGGAACUAUUGGUUUUAUUUAAUUAAUAUGAACGUUGAGCAGAUAGUUCUAACAUUUCUAAGAGUCACUUACCCUUUUUGUCUUUCACCUAACAUUUUAACAGAUUUUAAUUAGCUUAUAGCAUUGUUGGUUUCCUUAUGAUAUUUACAUACAUAGUUUUGGAUAACUGCACUCCUACCCUCUCUGCUCCCUCACGUCCCUGACCCCUACUCCAUCCCUUCCUUUCUUCCAUCUCCCUGAUCUUUACUCACCAGCACACUUGCACCCUCAAUAAUCCCCCUUCCUCUUUCCUAUCAUGCAUUCUAGUGCUCUUCCCACCUUAAAGCCUCAUUUCCCUGCCUUUAACGGGCCACUUGCUAGUUUUUAGGCCUCUACAUAGGCCCACACUCACAUAAAUUCACAUACAUAAAACUUAGAUGCUAGAAUUCAUUUAUGUAAUGUUUACGUCCUAUGGCUAAUCUACCUUACAUUUGUUAAUGCUUAUCUUAAUGUGUUAUUCUCCAAAAUUUAUACUCUUUUUCUAUGUUUCAUGUUAUCUACAUCAGUUUUACUACACACACUCAGACACACACUUUUUGUGUGCAGCUGGGGAUCUCACCCAGGCUCCUUUAGACACUGCACGCCAUCAGUAAAGUACCAAUCUUCUGGUGCCAAUUUCAAUUUUGCUUUGCCUUUUCUCAUUAAGAAAGUGCCAUUUGAGCGGGGCGUGGUGGCGCACGCCUUUAAUCCCAGCACUUGGGAGGCAGAGGCAGGCCGAUUUCUGGGUUCAAGGCCAGCCUGGUCUAUAAAAUGAGUUCCAGGACAGCCAGGGCUAUACAGUGAAACCCUGUCUCGAAAAAAUAAAAAACAAAAAUCAAAACAAAAAACAACAAAAAAGGUGUCAUUUGAGCAAUGAUUGUGAUGGUAAUAUAGUAUUAUUUAGGAACUAACCAAAUUUGUCUAAAACAAAAAUAUAUCUUCUCAUCACAUCAAUAUUUUUUCUAAGAGAAAUAUUUCAGGGUAGACAUUUUUAGAGCUCCUCAAAAUCAAUUUAUGAAAUUAAACCUUAGACUAGACCAUAAGGAAAAUUUUAAAAGGCUAUAUGUGAUAUAUUUAGGAUUUAUACAUUUGUCUGUGAAGAUGUCUCCCUAAUUAAAGUUCAUAUUAAGAUAUAUUUUCCUCUAUUAGUCUUUGCUUGUUUUACCAUAUUUGAGUUUGUUAUACUAAUAAAAUUAUUAGAAUGUACUGCUAACUUUUCACUGUGGUAAAUACAAAAAUGCCAAAUUUCUUAGUGAAUACUAAAGCUGUGCAAAUGUUAAGAAUAUGAAUAUUAAAGGAAUAAAAAUAAAAUUAAU